rfam:Nomascus leucogenys chromosome 2, whole genome shotgun sequence.
GCUGGGCGUGCUGGUGUUUGCCUGUAAUCCCAGCUACUUGGGAGGUUGAGGCAGGAGAAUCACUUGAGCCCAGGAGGCGGAGGUUGCAGUGAGCCAAGAUUGUGCCACUGCACUCCACCCUGGGCAACAAAGCGAGACUCUGUCUCAA